AGCUUUGCGCAGUGGCAGUGUCGUAGCCAUUGAGCUGUAUCCAAGGCACGAUUAUUGCUAAUUGAAAACUUUUCCCAAUACCUUGCGAUGAUGACUUGAAAUAUAGUUGGCAUUGGCAAUUUUGGACAGUCUUUUAGAGA
rnacentral:snRNA from 1 species